UACGGAGGGUGCAAGCGUUGUCCGGAUUUAUUGGGUUUAAAGGGUGCGUAGGUGGCGUCUUAAGUCUGGUUUGAAAGCUGGUGGCUCAACCAUCAGAUGUGGCUGGAAACUGGGGCGCUUGAAUGGGUUGGCGGUAGCCGGAACGGGUCAUGUAGCGGUGAAAUGCAUAGAUAUGACCCAGAACACCGAUUGCGAAGGCAGGCUACUACGACUUGAUUGACACUGAGGCACGAGAGCAUGGGUAGCGAACAGG
rnacentral:rRNA from 1 species